GCUGCCAUGGGCAACAGGCUCCUCUGCUGUGUGGUCCUUUGUCUCCUGAGAGCAGGCCUCAAGGAUGCUGUCAUCACACAGUUCCCAAGACACAGGAUCAUUGGGACAGGGAGGGGAUUAACUCUACGCUGCUCCCAGAAUAUGGAUCACUUUGCAAUGUACUGGUAUCGACAGGAUCCAGGGUUUGAACUGCAGCUGCUCUAUUACUCCCCUGCUACCGCCAGCAUUGAAGGUGUCACUGAGGGGUAUCGUGUGUCUCGAAAUAAGACAGACUAUUUUCCCCUGACCCUGGAGUCUGCCAGCACCAACCAGACAUCUGUGUAUCUCUGUGCCAGCAGCUCAUCCACAGCGCUGCACAGCCACAUCCUCUCCGCACAGAAAAGGGGCAAACCAAGGCAUUAG